rnacentral:rRNA from 1 species
GAUGAACGCUAGCGGCAGGCUUAAUACAUGCAAGUAGUGGGGCAGCAUGAUGUAGCAAUACUUUGAUGGCGACCGGCAAACGGGUGCGGAACACGUACACAACCUUCCUUUUAGUGGGGAAUAGCCCAGAGAAAUUUGGAUUAAUACCCCGUAACAUAGCGAUGUGGCAUUACAUUGCUAUUAUAGCUUCGGCGCUAGAUGAUGGGUGUGCGUAUGAUUAGACAGUGGGAGAGGUAACGGCUCACCAAGUCUACGAUCAUUAGGUGAUGUGCGAGCAUUAUCAGCCACACGGGCACGGCGACACGGGCCCGACUCCUACGGGAGGCAGCAGGAAGGAAUAUUGGUCAAUGGACGAAAGUCUGAACCAGCCACGCCGCGUGAAGGAUUAAGGUCCUCUGGAUUGUAAACUUCUUUUAUAUGGGACGAAAAAAGGUCUUUCUAGAUCACUUGACGGUACCAUAUGAAUAAGCACCGGCUAACUCCGUGCCAGCCGCCGCGGUAAAAC